rnacentral:tRNA from 1 species
AGGGUGCUAGCUCAAUGGAUGAGCACCUGCUUACAAGCAAGAGGUUGGUGGUUCGAUUCCUCCGUGCCCUA